CAAGUGUUAGUUUAAAGAAGUUGAGGGGUUGAAGUACAAGUAUAAGUACUAAAACUUUCCAAUUUCCAAGAUGAAUUGCUCCCCACCAACCCACCCAAAGAACACUUAAAUUCGGGAGUUAUAUCAGCAGCCUAUCUAUCAGUCCUAUCACCUCACCACCAUUCCCAUUUCUGCCUUCCAAGUCUUUUUUACAGAAUUACAGCCAUGAAAACCAUUCCUCCCAAAAACCCUCACUUCUUCAAGCCCAUUCAUCAAGGUUUCAAGAACGGCGUGGACAUACCCACAGCUUUCUUGGCCAAGUACUUGAAAGGGCAGGCCCCAAAGUUUGCGAUACUGAGAAGGGGGGAUCGGAGUUGGCGGGUGAAGAUUCGCGGCGACCGGAUGCUCGGCAACGGCUGGGAAAAGUUUGCUGCGGAGAAUGGUUUGAAUGUAGGUUACUUUGUGGUGUUUAGACAGGAAAGAGAUACGGUGUUUGAUGUUUCGGUUUUCGAGCCCAGUCUAUGUGAAAGAGAUUAUUGCCCACUUCCCCAUGCUGCCUGCCCUCUCCCUCAACCUUCCAACAACUUUCGCUCAUAUGUACCUGCCACUACUUCAUCUUUGUCUGCUGAGAAUCCUCAUUUCGUUGCCACUAUACAACCGUACUGCCUCAGAAAGCCCAAUCUGUAUCUUCCGCUGGAGUUUGCAAGGUCGAAUGGCCUAGUGGGAGAAGAAAAGCGCGAGAUGAUUUUAAGAGACGAUAAGGAGAGAUCGUGGCCAGUAGUUCUGGGGAGAAUGGGGCGACACGUUGCUCUUAUGCGAGGCUGGCUAGCAUUUCAGAUGGCUAAUGGUCUGAAAGAAGGAGAUGAAUACAAGUUUGAGCUGAUUGAGAGUGGGAAAAAACCCAUCGCCAAAUUCCAUUCAGGUCACUUUUCUGGAGAAGAAAAUUGAAGGAAGCUGCUGCAGGCAUGUUCUGACCAAAACUUAAAGAGCUGUUUUUUUGAGUGUGCAGAUUCUGCAAGUGGCUCUGUAGUGUACAAAGUUGAAGUGAUCUAAGUGAAUGGAUAUAUAAGGUAGAUAAU